UACGGGGGGGGCAAGCGUUGUUCGGAAUUACUGGGCGUAAAGGGUUCGUAGGUGGCUGGCUAAGUCAGACGUGAAAUCCCUCAGCUUAACUGGGGAACUGCGUCUGAGACUGGUCAGCUUGAGUGCAGGAGAGGAACGCGGAAUUCCAGGUGUAGCGGUGAAAUGCGUAGAUAUCUGGAGGAACACCGGUGGCGAAGGCGGCGUUCUGGACUGUAACUGACACUGAGGAGCGAAAGCGUGGGGAGCGAACAGG
rnacentral:rRNA from 1 species